ensembl:lncRNA
AGCUGGGAUAGACAACAUGGACCCUAGAGGAACCCUUCACCCAUCUCUCCUCUGAGACCUUAAACAGAGCCAGACUCACUAGUAAGGUCCUUCUUUAGUUUCCAUUAACUCUCAAGAGAAAAGGCAGGGGGCAUGACCAGCUCCAAAGCCUUACCACCUUGGAAGGAGAAAAGAAAAGGGAGAAGAAAGAACAGAUUUUCAUUCCUCCAGACAAAGAUUCAAUCUCAAGCCUUCAGGAAGGGACAGGGUGAUACCAAGAGGAGGCUGGUGCAGAUGCGAAGGUGGGGAUAAGACAAAACCUCAAUUUAGUGCAUGAUAAAGAUUCCCAAGAAGGCUUCUCCAGAGAAGCUUUUAGAAGAGGUUUGAAUCAAGAUUUGCAGAGAGAUGGGGAUAAUCCUAUGUUGUCAAGACAGAAGCAGUAACUGGAAAGUUGAAUGUUUCUAGGGGAGAAGAGAGCUCAGUGGGCUCCUGCAGGCCAGCUGAAGGGAGUGUGAGAUGUGUGUGGUGAGAUGCAAGGCUGUGGGGGAGAAGACGACCAGGGCUUUUCAUGCUGGAGUCUAGACUUGCUUCCAUAGGAACAAGAGAGAUAUUGGUCCUGAUGCUGGGUCUCUGUAGGUUGAGUUUUUCUCUUGGGACUCCCAAACUUGGGGAUACUUUAGAGCUCAGACAUUAGUUGGUAUGAGUGUGUGAAUAUGUGUGGUGGAGAUGGUGGAGAUGGAAUUCAUUUGGGUCAUUAUGGCUUGAUCCAAAUUAGUUUUAAUUUGGUCAAGACUAUUAAUUCGCUGUUUAUUAGUAAUUGGUAAUUAGCUCCAACUCAGUGCAGGCCCCAGGGACCGGUUGUCAGGCUGCGUAAUUGCUUCCCUGCCAGGAGAAAAGAGAAUGGGCUUCAGCGUUUGGUAAAUACCAGGUUGGGGAAGAGAAAUGGAUUCUUUUCUCUUCAGUCCAUCAGUUUUGUUAUUCUCAAUUGCUGUCCCAGUAGAUCUUGCAUCCUCCACACAUCCCUGAAAAUUCUGUCACAUCUGACAUGGCUGGGGACAGGAGAUGAAAUGCUGGGAGGGGUACCUGGAGGAGAGUCUGGGGCCCUCCUUAGAAGGAAGUUCACCCAUAUCUGGAUGGGCAGUGGGACUGAACCAGCCAUGUAGAUCCAACCAUCUCUCACAUCUUGCCUCCAGCCCCAGUUUCUAUCUUACUUUCCAGAUGUUAUGUCACCUUUAGCAGAAAUCCAAGGCCCCCCCCUCCCCUUUCAGGGGCUCCAGGGGCUUCCUUUCCAGGUCUCCCUCUUGCUCCCUCCCCAGCAGUAUCAACACUGGAGCCAGUGCUGGGUUUCACCACUCCUUGCCCCUACUAGUCUCAUCUGCACCAGGGGCCAGUCUUGGGAGCUGCAGGAAGGGUGGGGAGAGCAUGUUGGGUUUGUUGACAUGAGUGAGUCACUCUGAGUGGGAGUGGAUGACAGAAAGACUAUGACUCAGUGAAGGGAAUACAAUGUGGGUGCAGGCAAGGGGGUUGCACAUCUUUACCGGACCAAGGAAAUAUGAAAACUUGGGGGCCUUGGAGUGGGAGCAGCUGGUGCCCAUUGAUGCCAUGUUGGCUUGAUGGCCCUGCCAUUCUCAGGUCUUUCUUUGAGUCACCCAUGUGUAUGGUAUUGUCUUCCUGAUUUUGUCCCAUCUGCAUUCUUUGGUGCAUCCCUGUGUAUUUUGUCUUGGUCCCUUUAGCCCUUCUUACCCAAUGAGGUUGGUGAACAGAAGUUUCAGAGAAUCUUCAGCCAAUGGCCUGCAAGUUACUGGGUCUACAUCCAUCAGAGGGGGAUGGAGCUAGUGGCCAGUGUCCUGGACUGAGUUUUGGAGCAGAGUCUGCCAUGUGGAAAGACUCUUAAGGGUCUGUCUUAGUUGCUUGACAUGGCAAUGGCCUGUGUGGGCCUCUCUUUUUGGAAAAUGGAGGGAGGGAUAUUAUCCUAGCUGUCUGGGCUGCUGCUUUCCUUCUGUGGCCAGCAUCUUGAAAGGAGCAGGAGGGCAAAGUGGUCUGAGGAGGCCAAUAUAUACAGUGAAAAAAGCAGGGAGUGCUGCCAAAAGCCACACAGGACUGGCAAUCACUUGACUCAGGGCCUUUGCACAUGCUAUUUCCUUCUCGUGGAAGGCUCCUCCCCCAUAUAUCUGGAUGGCCAACUCCCUCACCUCUUUUAGUUCUUUGCUCACAUAUGACCUUCUCAGUGAGGCCUUCCUGACCACGCUAUUUAAAAAUGUCAUCCUGCUCCCAGCAUUUUCUGUCCUCCAUUCCUGCCUUAUUUUUUCCAUAUUACUUAUCACCAUCUAACAUAUGGUAUCUUUUACUUAUUUACUAUGUUUAUUGGAUGACUCCUUCCACUAGAAUGCAGGCUGCAUGAGGGUCGGGAUUUUUGUCUGUUUUAUUCAUUGCAGUAUCUCCUGUAUCUAGAAAAGCACCUGGCUUGAAAAAGGUGCUCACAUAAUCUCAGCUGAAUUAACGAAUCAACAAAGACAACGCUGCGUGCUGUUAGGACGGGUUGUGUGCCCGGCAAUGGGUUACCCCCUGUAGGGGAGGAAGUGGACAAGAUCUCAGACUAGGAGUGGGGAGAGCUGGGCUCGAGCCCCAGCCCUGCCCCUCACCAGCAGGAAAGUGGAGAUUGGGCAGCCCCUUCGCAUCCCUCCAGGGAGCUGUGAAACUCAGGCCAGGUAAUGGAAAUAAAAGCACACCGUGAAUUACGAAGGGCCGCCCCUCAUGGCCCUCCCCAUCCUGAUUCUACCAUUUUGUCCGGGGAUGACCCAAGUGACAGUGUGGUCCGUUGAGGCUGGUGUAACUAGAGAUUUCUUGGAGAAAGUGAGUCCUGAGCUGGGCUCUAAAUGUACAGGGAACAACACUGGCAAAGGCCCAGAGGAACAAGGAAUUUGGGGUGGGGGAGGCAGAGCCUCUCUGGAGAUCGUUUCUGAUGCUAAUUCAAGACACAAGAGCCCAGGGGAGCUUCUGCCUGCUGUGGCCACCACUUCUCAGGACAGUUGCCCUGGCUGAGCUGUAUUCUACUCAAAGCGUGCUUGUCACCAGGAACUGGGACCCACCGCACUGCUGUGGUGUGUCGCCGGUUGGCAAAGAUAACAGGCAGCCUCCAGGCAGCGGAGAUUGGGCCUCAGAGGCUGGAGCUGGAGGGUCAGGGACUCCAGCCCUCUCCUGGGGCCUCACAGCUCACCCACCUUGCACAAGGGCCAACUGAGCUGCUCCCGCCUUCUCCCCGUGUUACAGCUUUUUGGUUCAGCCCCUUUUCCUGACUACAGUUUCUAAGUGUCUUAGUGACACAUAGCAUUUCUGGUGUCCUUGAAUCAGCCUAGGGACGGAGCAGUCACUUGCCUACCCCACAUCCAGCCCCUGUGGCCAGGAGGGGACCAAAGUCACGUGGUCACAGUGGGAGUGGGGUCCCCCUCUGAUGUCAGGGGGCAAGGAGAAUUGAUCUAGAAAGGCAGUUGGGCAGGGAAGGUCAAAUGGCUGAAGUUUGAGUACAAGUCUUCAAUACCAUCUUGCAGGCUGGGCCCCUCAGGGUGGAUUCUGGGAGAAAGAAACAGGCCCAUUUCCGUGGGGACCCUGCCUGAACGAGUCUGAAUGUGGCAGCUGCAAGUGCAGGAGCACCAUUCUGAUGGAACCUGAAGCCAGAGGAAGAAGGAAGAAAAUUACCACUUCUUAGGACCUAGCGGACGAUGGUGACUUCUUCAGGCAUCAUCUCAUUUAUUCCUCACCUCCCAGCAGCCCUGCGCUGCAGGCAGCAAUGCUCCACUUACAGGCACAUAGACUGCAGCUCAGAGAGGCCAAGCAGCUGGCCCAGGGUUACACAGCUGGCAGGAGGCAGAGCAGGAAUUGCACCAGGCCCAUGGCCUAGGUGGGGGUGAAGAAAGCCAGGAAUUGGAAUCCAGUUUAGGGGUAGACAAAACGGGGCCCUGUUUCUUCCUUCCCUUGCCCUGGGUGGGUGAAGACCCUUUUCCUGC